ensembl:snRNA LOC120096759 U6 spliceosomal RNA
UUCAUCAGCAGAUAUGAUAUAUGAAAGUUGGAACAGUACAGAGAAAAUUAGCAUAGACCCUGUGCAAGAAUGACACAUAGAACAUGAAUUUCAAUAAUUAGAA